UUCGAACACGAAAUAGCUCCACUCAAUUUCACUUCAAUGAAUGCAUAGAGUAAAUUCUUCAAACAAAGUUACUAAAAGAGCAACAAUCAUGGGAAGCCACAAAUUAAAGAGGAAACCUCAAGAUAGUAUAAAAGAGAAUCAAAACAGAAAGACUCGGAUCUCGAUGCACCGCAGUUCUUAACCCAUACCAAGUUUUUAUGGAUUGAGCCCAUUUUCCUAGACACAAGAGCCCAGGCCUGGUUAAUAUCCACUGAAUCCAUUCCUUUUCUUCUGGAAAGUCCAAGGAUGGGAAAAGAAAAUAGAGGCAAGUCCAAAAAGAAAAGGGACUGGCAGAUUUGAUUUUGAUUUAUUGAUACCUGAUGGUGUUUAAUGUACGUCUCUUCUUCCACUUUUGCCAAAGCCCAAAGCUUCAAUCAUUUCAAAGGCUACAACCUUUGACGGUGAUGAUUGCCCGAUAUUUUCAGCUCUUGGCAACCAGUGAGACAAUCUCACUGGACUGGUGGUGUGCCAAACAGCAGAACUGACUGGUGCAUUGCAGUGAAAAAAAAAGUACCUUUAACUUCAACGCACUAGAGCCAAAAGCUAUGCCAAAGAAAGCUUAAAGAAGUGGCUAAAGCACCACCUCCUUGUUUAUUCUGCCAAGGGAGGAGGAAUUGACAUCGAAGUAGGCACGCGAACUGAAGAGGAGGCGGUGGUGAUGGGGAUAAUAGCGGUGGAAGUGACAGUUAGACUGAAGGAGGGAAGUUUUUGGAUGGCGGUAGUAUGAAAAAGAUUGUUUUGUCAAUGUCCCAAAGUUUGACAGGUGGUUAAGUGUGCUCACAUGUAGCGAACCAAAUCCGGAUGCGAAAAACAUUAUUUUGAUUCAUUCAGGUAGAUAUGUAAACGGGGAGGCGUUAUGGGGCUACAUGAAGAGCGGCAACCAAAAGUCGCCUCUUGCACGAGGGUUGUUACGUCUUUACUGAGCUACCCAUAAAACCACUUUUAGGCUCAUCCCUUGGGCUUGGUAAGUCCCUCCUUUUUCAUUAAUAGACCUCGGUAAUGUCUGUUUAUGUUGCAAAAGACGAGUAAUUUACGUCUCUAGUGUGUUAGAAGAGAUAAAAACCUGCCACUUAAUACAUCUUUUCUUUUUCUUCA